rnacentral:rRNA from 1 species
UACGUAGGGUGCAAGCGUUGUCCGGAAUUAUUGGGCGUAAAGAGCUCGUAGGCGGCCGGUUGCGUCUGCUGUGAAAUCCCGGGGCUUAACCCCGGGCGUGCAGUGGAUACGGGCCGGCUGGAGGCAGGCAGGGGAGAAUGGAAUUCCCGGUGUAGCGGUGAAAUGCGCAGAUAUCGGGAGGAACACCGGUGGCGAAGGCGGCAUCCUGGACCAAUUCUGACGCUGAGGAGCGAAAGCCAGGGGAGCAAACGGG